rnacentral:rRNA from 1 species
UACAGAGGGUGCAAGCGUUGUUCGGAUUCACUGGGCGUAAAGGGUGCGUAGGCGGUCGGGUAAGUCUGAUGUGAAAUCUCACAGCUUAACUGUGAAACUGCAUUGGAUACUAUCCGGCUAGAGGAAUGGAGGGGAGACUGGAAUACUUGGUGUAGCAGUGAAAUGCGUAGAUAUCAAGUGGAACACCAGUGGCGAAGGCGAGUCUCUGGACAUUUCCUGACGCUGAGGCACGAAAGCCAGGGGAGCAAACGGG